rnacentral:rRNA from 1 species
GAUGAACGCUGGCGGCGUGCCUAAUACAUGCAAGUCGAGCGAACGGACGAGAAGCUUGCUUCUCUGAUGUUAGCGGCGGACGGGUGAGUAACACGUGGAUAACCUACCUAUAAGACUGGGAUAACUUCGGGAAACCGGAGCUAGUACCGGAUAAUAUUUUGAACCGCAUGGUUCAAAAGUAAAAGACGGUCUUGCUGUCACUUAUAGAUGGAUCCGCGCUGCAUUAGCUAGUUGGUAAGGUAACGGCUUACCAAGGCAACGAUGCAUAGCCGACCUGAGAGGGUGAUCGGCCACACUGGAACUGAGACACGGUCCAGACUCCUACGGGAGACAGCAGUGGGGAAUCUUCCGCAAUGGGCGAAAGCCUGACGGAGCAACGCCGCGUGAGUGAUGAAGGUCUUCGGAUCGUAAAACUCUGUUAUUAGGGAAGAACAUAUGUGUAAGUAACUGUGCACAUCUUGACGGUACCUAAUCAGAAAGCCACGGCUAACUACGUGCCAGCAGCCGCGGUAAUACGUAGGUGGCAAGCGUUAUCCGGAAUUAUUGGGCGUAAAGCGCGCGUAGGCGGUUUUUUAAGUCUGAUGUGAAAGCCCACGGGCUCACCGUGGAGGGUCAUUGGAAACUGGAAAACUUGAGUGCAGAAGAGGAAAGUGGAAUUCCAUGUGUAGCGGUGAAAUGCGCAGAGAUAUGGAGGAACAACAGUGGCGAAGGCGACUUUCUGGUCUGUAACUGACGCUGAUGUGCGAAAGCGUGGGGAUCAACCAGGAUUAGAUACCCUGGUAGUCCACGCCGUAAACGAUGAGUGCUAAGUGUUAGGGGGUUUCCGCCCCUUAGUGCUGCAGCUAACGCAUUAAGCACUCCGCCUGGGGAGUACGACCGCAAGGUUGAAACUCAAAGGAAUUGACGGGGACCCGCACAAGCGGUGGAGCAUGUGGUUUAAUUCGAAGCAACGCGAAGAACCUUACCAAAUCUUGACAUCCUUUGACAACUCUAGAGAUAGAGCCUUCCCCUUCGGGGGACAAAGUGACAGGUGGUGCAUGGUUGUCGUCAGCUCGUGUCGUGAGAUGUUGGGUUAAGUCCCGCAACGAGCGCAACCCUUAAGCUUAGUUGCCAUCAUUAAGUUGGGCACUCUAAGUUGACUGCCGGUGACAAACCGGAGGAAGGUGGGGAUGACGUCAAAUCAUCAUGCCCCUUAUGAUUUGGGCUACACACGUGCUACAAUGGACAAUACAAAGGGCAGCGAGACCGCGAGGUCAAGCAAAUCCCAUAAAGUUGUUCUCAGUUCGGAUUGUAGUCUGCAACUCGACUACAUGAAGCUGGAAUCGCUAGUAAUCGUAGAUCAGCAUGCUACGGUGAAUACGUUCCCGGGUCU